GAAACACAGACACUGUGGAGCUACCGCAACCACUAAACUGGGAAACUACUGAUACAGCGAUUAGUCCGUUUUUCUUCACCACAAACUACUUUGAAACAUAAACAGUAAAAGAUGGACGGACAAAUGCCUAGAACAUUCACAUAUCCCAAUGGAGCAUCACAAUGGGCCAGAAAAAAGGCACGGAAAGCACAACUGGAAAAUGCCCCAGAGACGCUGUUUGUCACUCUCAGACAAGAAAUGGAAGACCAAUACAUGUUUUACACUCAGAAUCCUAAUAAAUGGCUUAAAGCUAUAAAAAAAAAAUUCUCUGAACCAACUAUUGUUUGCUAUCAAUGGAACACAGAAGCAGGCACCAUUAUGUUAUAUCCUACAACUGGAGUAUGUGUGAUACAUGGCCAAAGACAAAAAAGGGUCACAUUUUUGGACUGGUUUAGAAGAAUAGUUGGUCUGCAAAAUCGUGAACCUUAGCACACCAUGACAACGGGUGUGCUAAGUAUCGUAUAAAGUUUCUAAUCAUUCUUCUUCUAAUGACUUUUGAUUAAAUAUUCUACUGAUCAGUCAUCCCUCAAGUUUUUUCUCGCCCCCCAACCAUAUUCUGGAGGUUAUGUUAGGAUUGCGGAGCGUUUUGUACUCACUGAGAAGGU